AUCAAAGAAGCAAUGGAUUUUGUCACCGCCCCGCUGAGCAUUCCUUCGUUCGCCUUCGCAAAACAACUGGGGCGAAAACUUCAGUUGUAUUUUAAACAAAUGCAUGAUCAAACGGCUUUUUAUAUGGUACAUCAUGCCCUACAUCCUACAGAAGGUGAAAAACGAGCGAAGAAACAAGCCAAGUUCAUCGGCCUGUUUUCUACUCCAUAAACGCUCUUCGAAGUAAAAAAAAUAUGUCUUCCAGCUAAUUGCUACAUCUAUGAAGGAGCAAAGCCUUCUUUAACUUCUGGAAAACGAAGCUUGUAAUUGUUUUUUAACCUUUCACUGUUGUUCUCACAGCGAAAAAAACGGCAAGACCCGGACGGCUGCUCACCAUUUUCUAAAGUGGCUGUCAGUAUUAUUUUCAAGUACAUCAGAAACACUCUUAUUCGGUCAGGAGUGGUCGCAGAAGACAUCCCGAGGCUUACUCGACGCAAUCGCUGCAGCCCACGCAGCGAGAACGAUUGCCAGAAAUUUAUCAAGGAAACGCAAGUAUUAUAAUGACAUGAAUUGAGCUUUCACUUUUUUUUAAGCACACGUACGCAAAACGAACUGUUUGGAAUAGUGUCAUAACCUAUUGAAAUAAAAAAACAAAA